rnacentral:lncRNA from 1 species
CGUCUUGCAGUGUCGCUCUUGGCUCCCGAAGGACGCUGCGGGUCGCCGUGGCGCUCCCCGGGUGACCGUGCAGUCCCGGUCUCCCCGCCGCGGGCUGGUGUCACAGCUGUGAGGUCGGGCUGGGCCCUCCGGGGCGGGAAGGACGGACUGGUUCUGCUAGACACCGUUGAGCAAGCUCAGGCGUGUGUUCUUGGAUCGCAUUCUCUUAUGUGGAAAUUUUUGUUUAAGUGGGAUAAGAGCAAAGGGAAGAAGAUAGCAAGACCUCGAAGAUCCGAGCGUGAAAUGUUUGAUCCCUCGGGUGGGGUAGGAGAGCACCCUCUACGGAUGAGCACCAGGCACGAGCAUUACUGUAGCAGAGACUGGACCGGCUCGAGGAGGAAGGGGCUGGCGCGGAACACGAGGUUUUGCUGAGUUGUCCAAGUGGGACUCGAACUUGGGGUCUUCGUACUUCACCCUCCCUUGGUGAUUACAGGCGAUCUUUCAUCUAGAACUGAGAGAUUAAAUCUCUGUUGCAACCCCAGGAAACUAAUACGAGGCUCAAGAUAACCACGGGAUAAGUUUGGAGACCCACUGGGCCCACUUUAAGAAGGAUAUCUGAGUGAAAACUCCUUGCUCAGUUGACCAUCUAUCCGGAAGUACCCACACUAAAUGAAAAAGUGCCAGAAUACCAUGGCAUCAGUAGAUGAAUUACAACACAAACCCUUCAGCCUGGAGCAAAGCCCUGUCAUCCUCUGGAAAACUGCUUUUAGUUUGCAACUGGAUUUUAACCAUGGGAACCAAGUAACCAUGUGGCCUGAUCAUGUGAUAAUAUGUAUGAAUGCUGUUUCAUUAAUUGAAAUACAUGCC